AGUGAACGCUGGCGGUAGGCCUAACACAUGCGAGUCGAACGGCAGCACAGUAAGAGCUUGCUCUUACGGGUGGCGAGUGGCGGACGGGUGAGGAAUACAUCGGAAUCUACUUUUUCGUGGGGGAUACCGUAGGGAAACUUACGCUAAUACCGCAUACGACCUACGGGUGAAAGCAGGGGAUCUUCGGACCUUGCGCGAUUGAAUGAGCCGAUGUCGGAUUAGCUAGUUGGCGGGGUAAAGGCCCACCAAGGCGACGAUCCGUAGCUGGUCUGAGAGGAUGAUCAGCCACACUGGAACUGAGACACGGUCCAGACUCCUACGGGAGGCAGCAGUGGGGAAUAUUGGACAAUGGGCGCAAGCCUGAUCCAGCCAUACCGCGUGGGUGAAGAAGGCCUUCGGGUUGUAAAGCCCUUUUGUUGGGAAAGAAAAGCAGCAGGUUAAUACCCCGCUGUUCUGACGGUACCCAAAGAAUAAGCACCGGCUAACUUCGUG
rnacentral:rRNA from 1 species